rnacentral:rRNA from 1 species
GCGAGGUAGAGCAAAUCUCGAAAAACAAUCUCAGUUCAGACUGCAGGCUGCAACUCGCCUGCACGAAGUCGGAAUUGCUAGUAAUCGUAGGUCAGCAUACUACGGUGAAUACGUUCCCGGGCCUUGUACACACCGCCCGUCAAACCAUGAGAGUUGGCAACACCCGAAGUCGGUAGUCUAACCGCAAGGAGGACGCCGCCGAAGGUGGGGUCGAUGAUUAGGGUUAAGUCGUAACAAGGUAUC